rnacentral:tRNA from 1 species
GCGCCCGUAGCUCAGCUGGAUAGAGCGUCUGCCUCCGGAGCAGAAGGCCGAGGGUUCAAAUCCCCCCGGGCGCA